GUAGGAGGAGGAUUAGGUUAAACCGAAAAGUAUGGAUCUUGAGCCCAGCCACUUAAAUUCUUAGGCGCCUCAGUUGGGCGGGGUUUGAUAGUUGAAGGCGCUACCCUCUUCUCACGUUAAUCCGCGGGCGCGUACAGCCCUCCUCCCCUCCCUUUGCGCACAUGCGCAUGGUCUCAUUGCUACUUGAACUGGCUCAGUCCGCUGCCACCACAUCAGCAGGAGGCGGAGUUUAGGUUGUGGAAUGGAUGUUUUUUUAAGUACUUAGAUUUUUAAAGAGGAAAAGAAAGGCAAGGAGUACCUGUGAGCCAUCCUUCCAUUUAACUUCAACUUCCUUCUUCUGAUGUCACUUAUAGCAAGAAUGUCAAAGUUGGUUAUGAUUCUGCUGCUUCAGCAAUAUGUCUACUCAUCUGUUAUUGGACAAGGAUCUCCUAUUUAGAUUAGAAGAAGUUAAAUUCAGGUUUGUUGACAGUCUAAAAACUGUAUGACUCUUAGCACUCUCUGGCCUGUUGGACUGAGGUAACAGCAAGGAAUAUACCUGAACAGAAUUUCUCCAUUGACCAAAUUGAACAUUUGACUGUUAACUUAAGUAAUUGAGUAUUUAUAAUAUGAAUUGACUGUAUCCUAAAACCAUAUAGAUCAGUCAGUCAAUAGGCAUUGUGCUAAACACUAGGACUACAAAGAAAAGCAAAAUAUAAUCUUUGCUCUUAAAAAAUUCACAGUCUAAUGGGGGAGACAACAAAUAAACAACUAUUUAUGGAUAAGAUGUAUAUUGGCAAAAUUGGAAAUCAGCAGAAGGAAGGUAGUAGCAGUAAGAAAGAGGAGGAAAGGUUUCUUGAAGAACAUUGGCUUUUUUUGCUGAGAUUUGAAGGAAGCCAGGAGGCAGUAUAAUAAUAUGCAUCAAGAAGAUACCUAUCUGGAAAGCCAAAAUCUUGAGAAUAAAGCACGAAUGGGAGAAUAUUUGGUCAACAAUCACUAAAGGAAGAAACAAAGCUAAUAACACAGUGGAAGUAUAUUACUGAUCACCUGACCUAUGCCAGGAAUUGUUUAAGUUCCUGGCAUAGAACACAAAACUCUCACAGAAACCAUAAUAGUGCUGAAGGACUAUCUCUGCUAAAAGCAAAGAUGUUGAAUUCUUGAUUUGUCUUGUUAAUUUAAUCUUUUAGAAAAAUGAGAGAAACAAUGAGAGGAACUGCUAUUUUGAAAUUGAUUCUGACAAAUAACAAUCAGCUAACAUUUAUAUAGUGCCUAUUAUGUGACAGGAACUGUGUUAAGUAUUUUAUAAAUAUCUCAUUUGAUUCCCACAACAACUGUGGGAGUUAAGUAGUAUUGUUAUUUCCAUUUUAUAGAUGAGAAAGUCAAGGUAGACAAAAAUUAAAUGACUUUGCCUUGGGUAAUAUAGCUAUUAAGCUUCUUAAGGCCAAAUAUGAAUUCAGGUCCUCUUGACUCCAAGUCUAGUGCUCUAUCCAUUUCACCAAAUGGUAAUGAAAACCAUGCAAGAUAGGAAAUAUACUAUCUUAGAGAAGAUGAUUGAUUAGGAAGGCAAUGCUAGCCAUAGUCUGAAAUACCCUGGACCUAGAACCUCAUAGCCAAAAACUAAAAGGGAAAUUGUCUCAAGAGAGAAAAUUUAAGCAGGGAAUUCUGACAAUGUAGUUGUCAUUGAUUAGCAUGAGGAAAAAAAAAGGUAGUUGUCUUUAAACUGUAUAAGAAACUCAUCAAUGAACUGAGAUUUUAAAGGAAGAGAGAUGAAAAAAAAAGAAGGUAAUUGAGGAAAAGGAACAAAAUAAUGACUAGAUCCUGUAGCAGUGAUUUCAUGAGAAGGCUCUAAUUUGUUUACAGAAAAUUAGCUGAGACUUGUGAUAAAUACCAAAGAUGACAAUGACAACAACAGCAAAAAGAUUUAUUAAAAUCUGUGUUAGAAACAGAGAUGUUCUGUGCUCCACCUCUGUGCCUUUGCACUCUCUCUUCAUAUCUACAUUAUACAAUCCUCAUAUUCCCUCCAAGCACCAUUCAGAUGUCACCUCCUACAUGAAGCUUUUUCCCAAUUCCCCCAUUAUUAUCACUCAAAAUUUCUUUUAAUUACUUUGUAUAUUUACUGCAUUUAUUUGUGUAUGUGGCUCUCCUCAGCAAAAUGUAAAUUGUUCAAAAGCCAGGGACUAUUCCAUUUUUGUCUUUGUAUCUCCAGUACCUGCAUUUAUCUUUUAAGUAAUAAGGGCUUAAUAAAUGGUUAUUGAAUUGAAUGACAAAAUUGGGACUCAAAGGUAUUCAAAUUGUAGAUUAAAUAUAAUAAAAUGAAAUUUGUAAGAAA